GACGGCUGAGUAACACGUAGGAAUGUACCCCAAAGUGAGGGAUAACUGCUCGAAAGAGUAGCUAAUACCGCAUGUGGUCUUCGGAUUAAAGCUUUAUGUGCUUUGGGAACAGCCUGCGUAAGAUUAGCUUGUUGGUGAGGUAACGGCUCACCAAGGCGACGAUCUUUAGCUGGUCUGAGAGGAUGAUCAGCCAGACUGGGACUGAGAACGGCCCAGACUCCUACGGGAGGCAGCAGUAGGGAAUUUUCCACAAUGGGCGAAAGCCUGAUGGAGCAACGCCGCGUGCAGGAUGAAUGCCUUCGGGUUGUAAACUGCUUUUAUAUGUGACGAUUUUGACGGUAGCAUAUGAAUAAGGAUCGGCUAAUUCCGUGCCAGCAG
rnacentral:rRNA from 1 species